CAUACUUAUACAUAACUUUGUAUUCUACCAUCUAUAUCAUACACAUGUUCACAAACACACCUACUAUAAUCAAAUUCUAUGAAUUAGUUUAGUUUUCUUUAAAAAUCGAAUAACUAUCUGGAUAUGUUUUCUCCCCAAAUUCUUCCGCAAAAUAUCUAAUGAAUACAUUCAAACUCUCUCCUCAUAUAUCUUCUCUCUCUUUCAUAUUUAUGACAUUCUAAUACAACAUGUUCUAUUGUUUCAUGUUUCCACCGUAAUCACAUUUGCCAGUAGUAUGCUUUUGAAUUUUAUAAAGUUUACAAUUAAGUCCUGUAUGUCCAAAUCUUAACCUUGCACCUACAAUACUUCUCCUAAUUUUGUCAAGAUGUGGCAGUAUGCCCUGUGGGCUCUGAACGCACCACACAAGUGCCUGAAUUUAAUUGGUUGUGGCGCUGUCUGUAUAUACGUAAAGGGCCCUCCAUCACCUGGUGGACGUCAUCAUGUUUUCCUUCCGGUUCAGAUCUCGCAUACUAAUACGCGCUUGAAUGAUGAUGACUCUAAUCACUGAUCGAUCCUUCUUGUGGUGCCUGCCAGAGACACUACACAGAGCUCAGUGAUGCUGCUGUUUGUCCUCGGCCGGCUGCUUGCCGGUUGUCCUGUUGUUCCGUUCCUGGCUGGCAGGCCGCCUGUUACCUUGGUUAUCCGUCGUCGGCUGCCUACCCGUCGCCCUGGUUGUUGGCUUCAUGCCCGCCGUCCUGGUCGGGGUAAAACUGGCUCCUGCCCCUCGUCCAGUGUGGCUGAUUCGGGCUGGUUUGUGACCAGCUGGUACUGAUCCUUCUCUGGUGCCGCUGUUCUGUCAGAUAGCCAUGCGUUGUCAGAUCGUCAUACGCGUAUGACAAACUGAUGGCUAUAUCUGUCAGAUCAGCAUACGUUGUCAGAUAGUCAUACGCUUAGCUCAGACAUGUAUACGUUGUCAUUACCAUAUGAUUUUAUUUAAUCAGCAACAUAGAAUCAUGACGUAGAUCAUCAUACACUUUGUUAUUAACAGUUAUAUGGCAUCCUGACUUAGCGGUUAAGUACGUUAAUGAGUUUUACACGGGCCUGUGUUGUAAUUGACUGCAGCUGCAGCCAGACCUGCUUUAAAUACACUUUGAAACCAUGACAACGCAUGUAUAUUUAUCUAGUUAUCAUAUUAUGUCAUAUUAUAAACAAUUUAAUGACUUAUUUUCGUCAUAACUUGUUGCGUAUGCUGAACUGACAACUCCACUGACGGUCGGACUUCUUAAUGCGCAUGCGCGGGCAUGCAUACUGACUGCAUGUGUGCUAUCCUGACAGCGUAUGGCUAUCUGACAGAACAACGGCAAUUUCACCAUAUUUUAUAUUUAAUCAUCUUUAUUAAAACGGUGUUAGAUCGUCAUAAAGCUGCUAAUGUAAUAACACUUUAUUAGCCACUGUAUGACUUCCUGAUUAAUACCAAUGACAUCAGUUGUAUGAUGCACUAUAUUUAAUGUAGAACAUUUUACUUCUGUAUUUUUAAUAAUCCACACUGUCACUGGUGGGGUAAAACUGUUUAAUUUAAGUUACACUUUUUACAUUUGAACAUGUCACCCAUGUCUGUGGCACAUUCUUUGUGUGUCCACCUUGAGCAGCAGUCACACUGUAUCUGUGAAGUGGACAGAAAACGAAAACAGUUAUGAGUUAGCAAGUGUAAUGUGUUUGAAGCGUUAAGUUGUACAGUUUAGUUGUUUACCAUGUCAAUGAUGUUCUCUGAAGCAUUACAGUGAAGCAUAUUGCAUUCCACACAGUACUCUUCCACCUUGUCUGGGAACAAAUAAAGGCAUUUAGAGUGUACUUUACCAAAAAUAGUCAAGUACUACCUCUUUAUAUUCUGUUGACAAGCCAUCAUGUUAUACUAGUACAUAACAGAAAAUACUGCAAUUUAGUAUGUCAUAUAUCUUUGGAUUUUUUUAAUGCUUUGGACUGUUCCGGUAUAGCCUAAGGGAAAAUUUGUUCCGUUUGGAAUGAAAAAUUCGGUGAUAUGCUCCUAAGCCAUCUUGUGUUUUUGAUUGUUAGAAUAUUAACAAAACAGAUCAACAGGUUUCACACAGACUUCCACAGCAAGCAUUUAAACAAGACAAUUCAUUAGACACUGCAAAUUGUUCAAAUAUAUAAUAAUACCCUGCUGCAGCUGCGUACACAACAAAACACACCUACUCCUGCUACUAAACACGCCAACUGGUGCUGCAAUAAUAUGACAUUUCUGUGAAAUAUCAGCUCUUAGGACAAGAAAUACAAAAUUAAAAUAAAUAAAAAAAAGUUUGUAGUGAAAGCUUCUUCAUAUCCAUCCUUUUUUAUUCCGAUUUAAUACAAAAAAACCUUGUAAUCAACAUAUUUAUGCAUGUGCAUCCAACAAUGCAAUUCUUGAAAUACUGCAGAAAACACAACAGCGAGUUUAAAUGCAAUUGAGAGAUCCCAAUUUUUUAUUGACAACACUGGUGGAUGCCAUGUCCUUCCUGGCAACGCCUGGUGAACACAGGGACUUCAAGUGACUCAAGAACAUCUCCUGUCUUUUAUUAAUUGAGGCAAAAGUCACACUGACAGUGACUAAUACAUAACCCAGGUGGCUGUACUCAUGUAUGUGAUCUGUUAACCUGAAAAGCCUUCAUGUUCCAAAAACAACCUCAAUUUGCAUAAACUAGAUAUGUGUAAAUGUAAAGCACAUAUAAAAACAAAAUUAACAUGAACGCUUUUCAUAUACAUUAAUGAAGAUAAGAAUUUGUUUCAAGAGUGAAACACUGGUUUUGCCCCAGUUUCAGUGUGGGUAAAAAUUGCGUUUUCAUAAGUCUGAUUCAUUUAAUGUUGGUAACGGUGGAUGCCAACAUUAAGUUCAUCUAUGUAGAUGUUAAAAAGGUGAGAGGACAGUAUACUUCCCUGUCUUACUCCGGAACAUGAAGGCUUUUCAGGUUAACAUAUCACAUACACGACAUGCUAUCCAAGUUAGCAGACAUGUUAUCCAACCCAAAAAUAUUAAGGAACUGGGGGACGUGAAUUUAAACAGGGCGUGUUUUGUAGUUUACUGCAGCUGCAGCAGCAUUAAAUUUAAUUUAUUUACUUACUUUUUAUUGUGUCUCUUCUCGCGUAUGACAAGCUGACGACUCCUCUCAAUAUCGCGGACCUCCUGCAGAAUGCGCAUGCGCUCUUACCAUAGGAACGGUCGGCUCGUGGUGUUGGACUUUCCGGGUGGUGGUACUCCUUCUGGUUUGGUGCACGAUUUUCUUGUAUUCUUCUUGUUUGUUUGUUUUUUGUAGGCCACUACCCUGAUUUGCACAGCCAUCUUUGAGUUGAGCCAUAACUGUUAUUUUAAUGUUUUUAAAUGGUUUUAAAUUGGUGUAUUUUUUUCGACUAGAAUGAAAACAAUUAUGCAAUAAAUUAAAUUAUUGAAUUGGGUGAAAUUGUCUCAAGCCUCAUCUGUAGCGGGCCUGUGUGCCUUAAAGGUAACUUUUUAAGUAGAAUUAUUGCAACCUUAUAUUUAUUAAAUUUAUGGUCUUAAAUUCAAGUUACCCAUUUGGAUCACACUGGUACCGCCACAGAUUUUCAUCUAGAGGGAUCCCAUAAAUCACUCCAAUUUUUUUUUAUUUCUCCCAUGAUUUUUUUUCUCCAAUAGUUUUUUUUACAGAUAUUAUCCACAUUCAAAGCCUUAUUCUUUUGUUCUUCAUUUCUACAAACUACCAAUAAGUUUCCAUCUCUCAAAAUCUUUACCAUUUCAACAUCUCCAAUUUUCUUUCUCUUGACGCCACAAUGGGGCUGAUGUUAUCCUGUUCUUCUUCGUUCUUAAUUUUUUUUUUAAAGGUUUUAUUGGCUCUAGUGGCCUUUAUUUGAGUUUAUUGACAGGAAAGUGGG